GAUGAACGCUAGCGGCAGGCUUAACACAUGCAAGUCGAGGGGUAGAAGGAGCUUGCUCCUUUGAGACCGGCGCACGGGUGCGUAACGCGUAUGCAAUCUACCUUUUGCAGAGGGAUAGCCCAGAGAAAUUUGGAUUAAUACCUCAUAGUAUGUGAGGAUGGCAUCAUUUUCACAUUAAAGUCACAACGGCAAAGAUGAGCAUGCGUCCCAUUAGCUAGUUGGUAAGGUAACGGCUUACCAAGGCUACGAUGGGUAGGGGUCCUGAGAGGGAGAUCCCCCACACUGGUACUGAGACACGGUCCAGACUCCUACGGGAGGCAGCAGUGGGGAAUUUUCCGCAAUGGGCGAAAGCCUGACGGAGCAAUACCGCGUGAGGGAAGAAAGCCUACUGGGUUGUAAACCUCUUUUUUUCAGGGAGGAAAAAAUGACGUGUACCUGAAGAAUAAGCAUCGGCUAACUCCGUGCCAGCGANCCGCGGUAAAGUGACUACUG
rnacentral:rRNA from 1 species